UAUGCACUCUACUGUAAGUCGCUCUGGAUAAGAGCUUCUGCUAAAUGACUAAAA
rfam:Salmo salar isolate Sally breed double haploid chromosome ssa05, whole genome shotgun sequence.